GACGAACGCUGGCGGCGUGCUUAACACAUGCAAGUCGAACGAAGUGGCGAACGGGUGAGUAACGCGUAAUCAACCUGCCCUUCAGAGGGGGACAACAGUUGGAAACGACUGCUAAUACCGCAUACUGAAGGAGGGGAUUGCGUCUGAUUAGCUAGUUGGAGGGGUAACGGCCCACCAAGGCGAUGAUCAGUAGGCGGUCUGAGAGGAUGAACGGACAUAGUGGGACAGAGAUAAGGACCAGAAGCCGACGGGGGGCAGCAGGGGGGGAGAGUGCACAAUGGUCGAAAACCUGAUGCAGCGACGCCGCGUGGGGGAUGAAGGCUUUCGGGUUGUAAACCUCAUUCGCGAGCGAACGGGUAGGUGGAGAAGAAGCGCCGGCUAACUACGUGCCAGCAGCCGCGGUAAUUC
rnacentral:rRNA from 1 species